GAUGAAGAACGUAGCGAAAUGCGAUAAGUAAUGUGAAUUGCAGAAUUCAGUGAAUCAUCGAAUCUUUGAACGCACAUUGCGCCCGCCAGUAUUCUGGCGGGCAUGCCUGUUCGAGCGUCAUUUCAACCAUCAAGCCCCCGGCUUGUGUUGGGGACCUGCGGCUGCCGCAGGCCCUGAAAAGCAGUGGCGGGCUCGCUGUCACACCGAGCGUAGUAGCAUACAUCUCGCUCUGGGCGUGCUGCGGGUUCCGGCCGUUAAACCACCUUCAUAACCCAAGGUUGACCUCGGAUCAGGUAGGAAGACCCGCUGAACUUAAGCAUAUCUAUAAGCGGAGGA
rnacentral:misc_RNA from 1 species